rnacentral:lncRNA from 1 species
CUGGAACACUUUGGACGACGGUUGUCACAGAGCAUUCGGUGAUGGUGCAUAUCUCUGGCGCCACCGCUGCCUCCGGGGUGAUUCCGGUUCUUCUUGAAAUAGGUCUUCGUCGCCGCUGCCGUGGCCUUUACUGCCUCCUAGAAUCUAUCCCAUCCUUUUCCCCCUGGGGUUGGGACUUCGAAGGUGGAGCGAAACAAGGCGGGGCGAGAGCCGAUAGGCCUGCCACACGCAC